CGCCGAGGCGGGCGCGAUGGGACCGUGCCGGUUUGCCCCGCCCCGCCCCGCGGCGCUCCCCGCGCACCGGCGGCAGAAGGAGGCGGGCCCGCGCUCCUCCAGCACGUGCCGGUCCGGGCUGUGCUGAGCGAGGCCCGAGGGGCCGGGCCCGGAGAACGGCGGGACGAGCGGCGGCGGGGGCGGCGCUGAGGGGCGGCUGUUGGCUCUGACCUGGGCACCUCGAAACAGAGCGCGGGAGGCAGCUCUGUUUGAAAUCCAUUCCCUAUAAAAAGCAGCUGGUGGAGGAGUUUAUAUUUGCGUCUGAACGCUUGCAUGCAGCUUCUAGGUGUGAAGAACUGCAAUUUAGUGUUGUAUCACAGAUAACUACAAGGACGUGGACACCAGAGAUGAGAGUGCAUCAGCUGCCUCAGUUCAGAAGCUUUUUUUCAGCUGUUUUCAUCCUGUUUCUUCAAAUAAAGGAUACAAAGUACUAUUUUUCAUAUGUGCAGAAGUUAUAUUAUCUGGGCUAUGGCUUCCUGUACAAAUUUACUGAGAAGAGACCCACCUCGGAUGAAAGAGGAAACCUUGGAAUUAUGGCUUAAAUUAAGUAUUUGCAGCCUAAAUACAUUACAAAAAAAUGCACGUGCUAUGUUUUAUACCUUACCUAUUCUGCCUGCUGUCUUGUGCAAGUUAAGAGUUUGCAGCACAAGACAGAGGUUUUUAUUCAUUUCCUUCAUUAUACAGGCAUGGCAACAACAAAGGGUUGAUUCAGAGCAUUUUGUUUGAGCUAAGUCGUGUUCUCUGUGCACAGUGCAGUUCCUGGAGCACCGCAGUGCUGCACUUCUUAACAGCACCAUGUGAUGUUAUCAGGUGCCACAGCUCAUCUGCACAAGCCUUUCAUAUGGACUAGGCAUCUGAAUGUAUUCAAAUUCAGGGUGCAUGAAUAAAGAUUCAGUGAUUCUCUUCAGAUUCACAGUUUUACACCUUAUUACCGUGUUGUGGUGCUGUCUAGUGGGGAAGAUGCAUUGCUGAUGGCCGGUUUUGUCACAAAGUGGGGAACCCUCACAGAGCCAGCAAAAUGGAAGAUCACAGAAACAUCAUUAGUUCAGUUUCUCUGUUCCUGUGAGAAGAGGCUCAAAUCACACAGGUACUUCAAGAAAAUGUUGUGCUGGACCUACUGCACUGCAAAGAAUACUGCUUUGAGGCACAGCCAGCUCACACUGCAUGGAAGAGUAGGCUUCAGUCACUUUUUUGUACAAAACAAAAAAUAAGGAUCUGCAAAGGCAUAGUGUGGUUGUACUUGGAAAAUACCUGACAAGCACUAAAAAGCUUCUCUUUACAGAUAAACAGUCAACAUGCGUGACAGUUUGUAGCUUUUCUUCUGAGCUGAAGAAGUUACUUGGUACACACUGCAUGGUUUAUUUCUGUAGGCAGGAAAAAAUGUCUUUUCAGUUGUGUUCUCAGUAGCUGUAUUGUUAUGUUUUGGUUUUGGCAUGUGCCACUUCUCUGGCAUAUACUCAGAUACACUUUUUUUUUUUUUUUCUACUCAGAGUUAUUUUCUGAAUACUGUACAUUUCCAUAGGACUUCCAAACACCAGCAGCCCCACUGCAGCAUGCUUGUCCCUCCCUGUGUCCCUUUUCUCUUCUGCUGUCAUUUUUCUCCAGCUUUGCCCUGGGUCUGUGUCACUCUUCUCUGAACUCUGUGGGGACAGGACAUCCCAGGCUCCUGUUUGCUGGCCACUGUACCCCCAGAUCAGCUGCUGCACAACUGUUGCCCAUCCUGCCAGUGUGGUGGUCCUUCCACAGUGCAGUAGUUUGUCCCAGCCUUCACUGGACAAAUCAUCACUGGGGCUGGUCAAAAUCAUUUUAAUAACAGCCCUGUCAUUCCUUGCUUUUACCUGCAGAUUUACGGAACAUGCUCUCAAAAACAGGGUAGCAGUGAAAUUACCGUGAAUGACUAAAUCCAAGAUGUAGAAGAGGCCCCCUGAAGAAUGUUGUCUAAUCUAACCUAUCAACCAUUGCUAGCUACUGUGAGGAUGAUUUCCAAUCAUUUUGGCACCCACAUUAUAGCAACUUUGUGUACUCUGUGGCCAAGGUUUGUCUUUCCUAACUUUAGACACUUAACCUAGAGAGUUAUUGCCUAGGGCUACUUUCAAAGUCAAUAAUUAAGAGGA